ACCUUAUUCGUCAGGUGUUUGAAAUUAAACAAACAAAAAAUAGGAAGAAAAAAUUUAUAUUGGCCUUGAUAACGAAUCUUCUCGAAAUCGAUAUAGUACUGUUUUACUAUGCUGCUUUCGAAUGGUGGUACGGGGCUAGGGAAUCAUCCCUUCAAAGGAUCAAUAGGGAAGCGGCUUCAGUAAGAGGAUAUAAUCGAUUGCGUUGGGAAAGGUUUUUCGAAGGAACGUCCAACGGUUCAUACGGAUCAUGGGUCAAAGUUGAAUUUUUGCUCUAAUGCGGGAACGUUCCUUCGUAGAAAAAUUAGGAACGAUAAGGAAAACCUUAGGGCGAUUAAUAGUGAUUCCGAAAAAGAUGUUCUGCGAAUCAUUAUUGAAGAAGAAGAAGAGGAUGAAGAUGAAGAAGAAGGAGAUACAGGGGAUGAAGUAGUAGAGGAGAUUUACUAAAGGAAACAAAGGCGAAAGCAGUAAAAUUCCAAUAGCCUACGAGUAUUACAAAGGCCCGAAUUGACUGAUAUUUGAAUUAUAAUACCAAAAAAGAUAUACGAAAUUCCAUUAUCUCAUGUUAAUGAAGUAUUCUAUAUCCGAAGUAAAACAUAUUUUCAUUGGCCUGUUCUUCCUUAUAUCCGACGAUAAAUCCUAUAUGGAUAGUAUAAUUGCAAUCAACCAAAUUAAGAUAUGAAAACGUUUUCCUUUUUCUUCUUAUAUUUAAGUGGAAAAUCAGUCAAUGCUGUGUUUAUCAAAUGAUUUUAUGAAAUCGACAAAUGUAUUUCGAUUGAUAAGCGAAUUUAAAAAAAUCUUCUAAAAAAUAUGAAAUCCAAAUUGGUGAGAGAGACACCUUAUUAUCUGGUGUCUCUGAUGUUGAAGUAUGCAUUCUGUGAUUGGAAAUACCUAGGAAGAGGAAAAAGAAGAGAAAACAUUUGUGCUUGACAACGAACUUUGGAAUGACCAAUAUGAUGCUAUUUUAUAAAGCGUGGGACGGUGGUACGAUAAAAUGGGAGGGAUUUGCCAUUUUCAAUGGAUCCAAAUGUGAACGGCUUUAGCUGGAAGGUAUAUGCUAUUAUGCUCAGAAAGAUUUGUCGAACGGCCGUCCGUCGUUCCACGCGGAACAAGGAUCAAGUGGGAAUUGAAAUAAAACUGAGGGAAGUAUAUCAUACAUAAUAAUUUAACAUACGGGGACGAUAAAAAAUUCACCGUUUUUGGAAGUAAUAACGUUAGCAGAGGUAUAUUUUUAAAUUAUACAUGAAAUAAAAAGUCCACGUUCAGGUCAUCGUUAUUCUAUCAAUUUAAAUUAAGGAACCGUUCGAUAUAAUUAAGAUUGGAGUAAUGUUGAAUUCUGUAUUUCAAAUUGUUUGUUAUAAUAUUUACAACAUAUAUGUGAAAAAUAUUCGUAAGUAGCGUUUUUCAUAAAUAUUGAAAUUUGGACGAAAUAAUUUGAUACGUAGCGCGAAUUACCCUGUUAAUACGUUUUGACAGGGAUUUAAUGAUAGUUGAUGUCCGUAAUACUUUCUUCCAUACUUAUCAUUAAGUAUUUAUUUUAAACCUUUUGUUGAUAUCUUCCUCUACCUGAGUGUGCUCUAAUGUGCGCUCAUGUUCACUAGCAUUAGAACAGGAAUACCUACGCAGUUCUACGUGCUUGUGAACGGACACAUGCUGUGUCAUUUUGAAAAUAAGAAUGGAAUUUUUUCAUUUGUUUUCCCUCAUCAAAGCGAACAGACAAUUGGAUAAUAGGAUAAGCUGCAUAAUUCAAUUACCUAUAUAACUGCAUUAUUUAAUUAGCCGGUUAGGUCUUUUGCGAAAUAAUGUACUACGUUACCGAUUCAAUUCUUUCAUACGAACGAAUAGAUUUUCCUAAAAAUUUAUUCGUAAUCAAAGAACUUAAAGAUUCAAUCCAAUUAUAUAAUAUAGAUAAUAUUGCGUAUAUAAUAUUACAUAAUAUUGCAUAAUAUCGCGUAUAUUACGUUCUAAACUAGUUAGUUCCUAUGAUAAUAUUAUAUUUCUGCAAUCGUUUAUUUCUUAUUAUAUAUAACCAAGCAUGUAGUAGUUAUUUUAUUAUAUUUUUAGUAAAAUAAUAUUUGUAUUUUCCGAAUGCAUUAUCCGUAUGAUUUAAUUUUUCAAUAUGCAUAUAAUAUAACACUAAUACAAUACACCACUUAACAUAGUAAGAAUCUAUCAGACUUUAUAUUAUAUACAUAUUUGUACUAUUACUAUAUACUAAAAUUUAAUUAUUCAUUUAUCGUUAUUUGAUUAACCGAUUGACGUGGCUCUAACCAUAAGUUAUAAAUGUUGUAGGAAGAUAGUCUUUCCGUAAAAUAACUUUUCCUUCUAAAUAGAAUCUUCUGAAUCCUACUUUCAUGAUGUCAAUGUUCUCUUCAAGAGAAAUAAAUAAAUAUGAAUAAGUAAAUACCAAAAAUAGUUAACUUCCCCAUAUGGGGAUAAACAAAAUUAGAUAUUUACAAAGUAAAAUGAUCGAAAGGACAUUGAUAUGGAGAAUGAUCGAUAAGAUGAAUCAAAAGAAGUGAAAUAAUCAAAAAGAAAAGCAUGAAUAAAAAUUUUUAAAAAAUUUACCAUCUACGGUAGUUCCGAUUUAAUAAUAAAAAGAGUAGAAAAAAAUGAGUAGAAAAAAUAGUAAAAAUAAAUGAAAAAAUAGUAGAAAUAAAUUUAUUACAUAUUUUAAUCUAUUAUGUUCAUUGGAAUGGAUUACAAGAUGUUCAUUUUGAAUCUUGUAACCUUCCAUGUAUGUUUUUUAAAGAUCCAAAAGAUAUUAUAUAAGUCAUCAUCUGCGAUAAUGGAAUAUGUAUCGUACAUACCAUUUUAAACAAGCUGUUCUCGAUAAGAUAAGUCAUAUUUAAAUCUUUUUUAUUUCGAUCUAUCAAUCUGAAUGUAUUAGUAGAAGAUAAUUGUUUUUAUACAGUCAGUUGCGUAAGACGUAAUUAUUAAUAGCGGGACAUAGAACUAUCUUGAUUAGUCGUUUUUAAGUCCAUUACAUAUUGUUUAAUAUUAGAUUAGCGAUAAUUUUAUAUAUUUCUUUUUAUAUAUAUACGUUUUAUGUAUCUGUGUGUGUGUAUUUAAACAUAUAUGUAUAUAUAUAUAUAUAUAUAUAUAUAUAUAUAUAUAUAUAUGUAUAUAUAUGCAUAUAUAUAUAUAUAUAUAUAUAUAUGCAUAUAUAUAUCUUACUAUAUACUAAAAUUUAAUCGUAUUUAUAUACAUACAUAGUUAUAUAAUUGUCUAGAUGUUGAUAAAGUAUUUAUUUCGGUGUGUGCAUUUCUAAGUAUAUAAAUUAAUUUAAAAUUAAAAAGAAUAUUAAACGAUAAAUUAAAAUCAAAGAAAAAAUUUUAAUUAAAAAAAAGAACAUAAAAGAAAAAAGCAAACAAAUAUAUAUUGAGAAUUUAUUUAAAAAAUGAAAUUUAACUCUUAUUUGACUAUUUUUCAAGCGUGACUAAUUGCAAUAAAUUUUUGAGAGAAUGUCUGAAAAAUUAAGAGAAAAGUAAAUAUAAAUCAAAAAUGGAGUUUGCAUCUAUCGCAUGCAUACAGAAAUAUGAAAUUGUAACUAUUUGAUACACUUUCUGAAUAUAUAUUUGUUUGCUUUUUUUUUUAAGGAUAUUUUGUAACAACUAUUUUUCUUUUAAUUUCAAUUACUUCUUAGAUUUUAAUUCAUGCUUUAUUUUUCUUUUUAACCCCUUAUACUCAAAUGUCCUCUCAGAGAGUUCAUCAUAAAAAUAAGGAAAUCUCAUAGAUAAUGAUAACAAUAAAAAUAGUGUACAAAAAUUGCUACAAAACUUGUCAAAAAUAUCGUAAAAAAUUAAAUGGAAUAGAAUUUCGAUUCUAUUUCGAAAAUUUGGUUCGAUUCUAUGGAAAGAAGUAUGUUACACUAUAUACCACGUUUGCGCGACUUAGUGCCGCCGUGUUGUUAUUAGCUAACGUCCGAGAGGACGCCAAGUACAAAGAAUAAAUACGGAAGAAUAUCAAAAUAGAAA